AAAAGUUUAGAACUCAGAAGAAUUGUUAAAAGAAGAAAGAAUAGAUUACUCAUUGUGAUUCCAUUAAUGUCGCUACAUAUUUAACCAAUCAUUUAUUAUUGUGGUUUAUAUAAGAGCUAAACCUUUUCUCCCUGCAGAAAAAGAGAAAAGGGGAAAGAAAAAGAAUGAAAAAAGGAAAGGAAAAAGAAAGUAAUUGAAGAGGAGAAAGGACCCGACCAGUUCCAGGUUCUUGUCCAGAAGAGAAGGACUACGUUCCCCAGAAGAUUGUUCAAGUACUGUUAUCAUUCCUGCUCAGGGGAACAGAUAUAGGGCCUGUAUGUCACCUGACCUGGGUCGUUGACUUCUUCUCAUCAUCGUGCUCGCUUUUGGAUCGUCUCGCUGCUGCUUCCGACUGCACGCAAGGCUUUAGUAUUAGUGUAAGGCCUUUAGCUCUCGAACAGUCCUUCUCUCAAUUAUAUUUGAUUUUUUAAAACAAUUAUAUUGAAUUAUAUUGUAUUAUAGUGUGUUAUGCAUUCUGAUACUAUAUUUAGUAAAUUAGUUUGUUUCUCCU
ensembl:lncRNA